UGAAUUAGGAGUGCGCUCAGAAUUUUAAGUAUCACGUUAGUAAGCUUUCAUUCAUCAAUGAAUGAAAUUAAAUGAUAAACAAAUUGUGCAGUACUAUGAAUAAUGUAAAGCGAAACAACAAUAUAAGAUACCCUAAGAACUGUAAAGAUAAGAUCGAAUGCCACUUUCUGAAGACAUUUACAGAAUCGUCAAUUCACAAUAUUAGAGAUUAAACGGUAUUUUCCAGAAAGAUUAUCUUCCUUCCUUGAGUUUGAAAUAUUUUCAACCAUCUUUUAACCUCAAAAUAUAUUUCGAAAAAUUUAUUUCCCUAUUUUAUGCACUAAUGAUUUACAUUCCUCCUGAAAUUGAAAAGCUUGUACUAAUAUUAAUUUUGAUAAUUCGGUACUUGUACAAUAACAUGAAGUAAUAGAUUCAUAAACACUCGGAAAACGAUAUAUGCAAUGCAUACAAUGUAGGCAUUUUAAAAUAGCCCGUACGCAUGUACGCAUAAGAAAUAUAUGUCAUAUUUUUACUCCGAUUGAAUUCGGGGUAUGUUUUGUGAUAACUUUUUCAGUGUAUGUACAACUGUAUCCACGCACGAUCGACUUUCUUGCUCAAUAGUAAGCCAUUUGAACUUUGGAGAUUGUGUUAUACCGCCCUCCACUGGAAAGAAUUUCUCUUUGCAUUGUCAACGUUGAUAUUAAUUGUAUGUGAGGCUACAGAUGUGGGUCAAGAUCCCUGGACUAGUGACAAAUCAAUGCUAUACUCAUACUUUCUGACUUGACCCUGCGACCAGUUUGGUGUUCUAAUUUGGACAACAAAAGCAAACUGUCUGGAUUUGAUAAGUAUAUGUUUAUUUUGCCUUUAUCAUGAAGCACAACUGCUAUUUACACUCAGUGUUUUGCAAUCACAUUUGAACAGUUGGAUAUCAAAAUAAGUAAAUAAAUUGGGAACAUAUUCAACAAACACAGUAAAUCUUCUUGUAUCUUUUGAGAGAAACCGGUUAUUGCUCUUCAUGAAUAACCGUCGAAGGAGUCAUUACGCCUGUGAAAAUUGUGCUCAAGUUCGACUGUUAUUCUAUGAAUCAUUAACGAUUUCCGAUAUAGUUAGUACUAUUUAUGUUUAUUAUAAACUCCAUUUCUUAAUGGAAUCGACUAUCGGGUGUAUUGUUUUCAGCACGUUGAUAGUAAUUAUGUAAUUUCGUAUUAAGGGGUUACAUACAGUUGCAAUGGGUGAUACGACGAUAUUUUCUUUACAACUUAGCUAUGUAUAUAUAUAGUUUAUUACAACAUCAAUCAGUACAUGUUAUGCGAAACUUAUAAAAAUUUUGUUUCAAAAAAAAAUAAAAAUGUCGAAUCGACAGUUGUUUCCUAGGAGUGCUUUUUUGGAAAUGGCUUACAUUAGACAGAAAACAAACAUGGUGAUGGUUUUAACAUAAUUUUUACUUAAAAAAAUAUCUUAAACGAAUGGAAAAUCCUUCGUUCAGAGACUACCUAUUAUCAUAAUAAACAAAAAUUGGACGAUUAGUUUUUUAAUAAUCAAGUCCACUACAAAGCCAUUUUCAAAAAACAAACGAUACCGAGAUAAUCGCGUUUAAAGUUUCAAAUUUGUGUUUUUACAUUAAAAAUUCACUCAUUUACUUACAUCGAGUCUUCGAUCCCUUCUACAGACUUCAAAACAUCGCUUUGAUGCUGCCUACAAGCCAUUCUAGUUUCUCUUCUGGCUGCAACAAUAAGCAGCAUAUACGGCGACGGAGGUUCGAAACUCUAUAUACAACUACGCAUGAGCCAAUGCUCCAAAUGUUAUGAAAUUGUUUGAGAAUAUUGUAUAGCAUACUUAAAGAAUAUGAAAUAAACAUAUCUUCGAUUUUCCUGAUCAUCACAAACUCUAUAUAAUCCGUUAAAACAACAAAUUACAUAUAUAUAUAAAUUUAUUUUUGGGCAUGAGGAGGAUUUUUUUAAACAUAUUUUGAAAACCACGCCAUCUUAGUACUUGCUGAGAGAUUAAUAAACAACCAACUGAUGAAUUCAUCUCGAGAUACCAACAUAGUUUCAAGUGAAGAAUUGAGCAAAUUGAAUCUGCUAGUUUUCAAAAUUACUAGAUUUCUUUCAAGAAUCGUAUAGGAUAUGAUUGACUUUCUUAACUAGUUUCUUAUAUGGAACAUAAAUGAAUGAAAGAAAACGUUAUCUGUUAUCUUCAAGGUAAUGUUUGAUAAAGCUUGAUCGAUCGAUCAAAAAAGCCCAAAAACAAUUGAACAAAACCAAAGUUAAUUCUUACUUUAGCGUGUUCAUGAUAGAUAGCUCUAAAGCUAACAAAAGAUAGUCAAAUUUACUUAAUAACCUAAACUUUGUGCAAACCGACGGGGUAUCAAGGAAAAAAGAUGGAUUAUAUAAAUGUCAAACAAAAAUAUUAUUAUAAUGGUUAGAUUAGCUGCAAUGAAAAUUUCUCAACUAAAAGAUUUUCUUCUUGCCUAGUGCAGAAAUCGCCUGUAUAAAAUUCAAGUAUCAAAGAAACCUAUUUUCUAAAAGCAGAUGGACUAUAUAAAUGUCAGACCAAAAUACUAUUACUAAAUAUAUUCUAUAAUGAAUAGAUUACCUACAAUGAAAAUUUCUCAACUUAAAGUUCCUCUUCUUGACUAGUUCAGCAAUUGGCUGUUUUUACUAUCUAAAAUUUGCUAGAGAUAAGUAAUUAUUAAGUUUGGCAGUCAAAAUAAGAGUUUUGAGCGACACAUGCGCAUUCGUAUGAGAUAUAACCUGGUUGUACUGAUUACGGGGUAAAUUUGAAAAAUAUGCUCUUUUUCAACUGAGCUGGUGUUAAUUGAAUUCACAUUAAGUGGACAAUCAGUCAAGCAAAUAUGAAAUCUACUCAAUUAAUGGAAUGUGUUAAACUUUCUUGCAAAUAAAUGUUAUGAAAUUGAAACUACCUCUACCAAGGCCUACUGUUGUACUAUUGUAGAAAUUCAGAUUGAAGGUCAUAUACGUGACAGUAUAAUUGAUAGGGAAAUCAUGCUUUCCAAGUUUUCAUUAAUGAAAAGAUUCUAUGGUAUGAAGGAACAGUGAGCAAUAUAUUUUAGUUUGAAUAUCUUUACAAAAAGAAUAUUAUUUGAUUAAUAACAAAUAUUGAAAGAAUAGCGAAGUGAAAGUUGAAAGACUGCGUCAGCAUAUGAUAAUAUAUUUAAUUCUACAUAAAGGAAAACAAGCCAGGAGACCA